AGCGUAGACGGUGUGGCAAGUCUGAUGUGAAAGGCAUGGGCUCAACCUGUAGACUGCAUUGGAAACUGUCAUACUUGAGUACCGGAGGGGUAAGCGGAAUUCCUAGUGUAGCGGUGAAAUGCGUAGAUAUUAGGAGGAACACCAGUGGCGAAGGCGGCUUACUGGACGGUAACUGACGUUGAGGCUCGAAAGCGUGGGGAGCAAACA
rnacentral:rRNA from 1 species